AGAGUUUGAUCCUGGCUCAGGAUGAACGCUGGCGGCGUGCCUAACACAUGCAAGUCGAGCGAGAAAUUAUUCAAUGAACCUUCGGGUGAUUUAAAUAAUGGAAAGCGGCGGACGGGUGAGUAACGCGUGGGCAACCUGCCUUGUACAGGGGGAUAACAACGUGAAAACGUUGCUAAUACCGCAUAAGCGCACAGUAUCGCAUGGUGCAGUGUGAAAAACUCCGGUAGUACAAGAUGGGCCCGCGUCUGAUUAGCUAGUUGGUGAGGUAGAAGCUCACCAAGGCGACGAUCAGUAGCCGACCUGAGAGGGUGAUCGGCCACAUUGGGACUGAGACACGGCCCAAACUCCUACGGGAGGCAGCAGUGGGGAAUAUUGCACAAUGGGGGAAACCCUGAUGCAGCAACGCCGCGUGAAGGAAGACGGUUUUCGGAUUGUAAACUUCUAUCAGCAGGGAAGAAAAUGACGGUACCUGACUAAGAAGCCCCGGCUAACUACGUGCCAGCAGCCGCGGUAAUACGUAGGGGGCAAGCGUUAUCCGGAUUUACUGGGUGUAAAGGGUGCGUAGGCGGCAAAGUAAGUCAGAUGUGAAAGCCCGUUGCUCAACAACGGGACUGCAUUUGAAACUACCUAGCUAGAGUACAGGAGAGGUAAGUGGAAUUCCUAGUGUAGCGGUGAAAUGCGUAGAUAUUAGGAAGAACACCAGUGGCGAAGGCGACUUACUGGACUGUAACUGACGCUGAGGCACGAAAGCGUGGGGAGCGAACAGGAUUAGAUACCCUGGUAGUCCACGCUGUAAACGAUGAAUACUAGGUGUCGGGGGUCAAACCUCGGUGCCGCAGCUAACGCAUUAAGUAUUCCACCUGGGGAGUACGAUCGCAAGAUUGAAACUCAAAGGAAUUGACGGGGGCCCGCACAAGCGGUGGAGCAUGUGGUUUAAUUCGACGCAACGCGGAGAACCUUACCAAAUCUUGACAUCCCAUUGACCGUUCCUUAAUCGGUGCUUUCCUUCGGGACAAUGGUGACAGGUGGUGCAUGGUUGUCGUCAGCUCGUGUCGUGAGAUGUUGGGUUAAGUCCCGCAACGAGCGCAACCCUUAUCUUUAGUAGCCAGCGUGUAAUGACGGGGACUCUAGAGAGACUGCCGGGGACAACUCGGAGGAAGGUGGGGAUGACGUCAAAUCAUCAUGCCCCUUAUGAUUUGGGCUACACACGUGCUACAAUGGUAGUGACAAAGGGAAGCAAGACAGUGAUGUUAAGCUAACCUCAAAAAAGCUAUCUCAGUUCGGAUUGUAGUCUGCAACUCGACUACAUGAAGCUGGAAUCGCUAGUAAUCGCGAAUCAGAAUGUCGCGGUGAAUACGUUCCCGGGCCUUGUACACACCGCCCGUCACACCAUGGGAGUCGGAAGCGCCCGAAGCCAGUGACCCAACUUUUAGAGGGAGCUGUCGAAGGUGAAGUCGAUGACUAGGGUGAAGUCGUAACAAGGUA
rnacentral:rRNA from 1 species